ensembl:lncRNA novel transcript
AACUUUCCCGCGAACCUGAAGUUACCAUGGGGCGGGAGCCACCUUAGCGCCGCGUCCGCCCGCCCCUCGCACCGGCUAGGAUGCUGCGGAAGGCAGGGGCGCCGAGAGGCAAGGGUGAAAGACGCCGUCCAUACCCCCAAAGCCCGAACCUGCAUCUCCUCUGCGAGGCGCAGGGCGGGAGGACCGCUGCAGUUGGGAGCCGGCUCCGGACAGGCAAAGCGACCCGACAGGUAACCUUCCACAGGCCCACACAUGUGUUAUCAGCCAUACCUUAGGACAGAAGGAAUGAGUUUGCAGAAAGGAUGCUCUUCAGAACUCAUGAAGACAUAAGGUGCUUCAAAAGAGGAGACUUUCGGAACAUGAGCAGGGAAAUUGUCACUUGAUAGAUGACAAGCAUUGUGAGAAACAACAGUUUGCCUUUCUUCAUUCCCUUCCUGGUUAUCUUUCCUGUCACAUGAAGAAGAAAUGAAACACCAGAGAGAAUCAGGUUAUCAUCAUCUACACCAGCCACUGUCACUGGCCUUCAAAGUUCAACCUCCCUGGAACUCCAGAACUCCCCACUUUAUAAGAUGAAUGGCUAAUUGGAUCCUAGUACAUAAGGAAACACUGGCAAAAUAGCGCCCUACAACCAUACUGAGAAUUUAGCCCUGGGGACAUCUUCCGAUAUAAUCUGGCAUAGAAGAGUGGUUAUCACACCUUUAGCAUGGGACCCUUGAGACACCUUUGCUGUGAAUAAUGGAGAAGCAAAAGGAGUUACUAAUGAAGACAAACUAAACCUGAGAACAGAGAGAGCCUAACUAUGUGCUCCAGAAGUGCCAUGUGUGUCUAAGGCAAGCAAACUACAAGACACUGGACAUCAGACAUCGUCAAACCCAGCUCCUUAUCUCUGCCUCUUCUUUGUCUAGUUUCCCCACAGUUAUUACUAAAUACAGACUUGAAGCACAAAGAAUUUUGGAGACUUCAGUUUCCGCUCAGAGGAACUAACCAGGGAGGUUUGGACUUUCCUGCCUCUAAUAAGGACAGUGAAAUGUGAUUGGAAGUGGCAGUGGUUGUCUGAUAGCGGAAGCUCCAUCCACCGAGGUUCUUAAGUGAGAAUGUCUUGAAUAGAGUCAACAUACCCUAACUUCCACCAACCUUUGAUAUAAAUGCAGCAUGAGUAAGAAAUAAACAUUUAUUGUUUUAAUCCACCCAGAUUUUUGGAUUGUCAAUU